rnacentral:rRNA from 1 species
UGGGGAAUUUUGGACAAUGGGGGCAACCCUGAUCCAGCCAUUCCGCGUGAGUGAAGAAGGCCUUCGGGUUGUAAAGCUCUUUCGGCAGGAACGAAACGGCGACUACUAAUACUAGUUGCUAAUGACGGUACCUGAAGAAGAAGCACCGGCUAACUACGUGCCAGCAGCCGCGGUAAUACGUAGGGUGCGAGCGUUAAUCGGAAUUACUGGGCGUAAAGCGUGCGCAGGCGGUUUCGUAAGACAGCUGUGAAAUCCCCGGGCUUAACCUGGGAACUGCGGUUGUGACUGCGAGACUAGAGUCAGGCAGAGGGGGGUGGAAUUCCACGUGUAGCAGUGAAAUGCGUAGAGAUGUGGAGGAACACCGAUGGCGAAGGCAGCCCCCUGGGCUAUGACUGACGCU